rnacentral:sRNA from 1 species
GAUCCACCCUCUUCCUUACCUGACGAACUUUGCGCCCCUUUUUAUAUAGUUCAAGAAAAGGAAAAUAAGCAGAUAUACAUUUCACGACUAGUGCGUGACUGACUGUAAGCUAACAUCCCACUACAUGCCAGCGUCCUUCAGCCUCAUGCAGCCUUCUUGGCCGUAAUGAGGAAGUGAAAUUGCAAAUGGAUUGCAAAUGAAGAAAUCUCACCCAGGGGUGAUUUCCUCUUGGGCUACCAAUUAGGCUGUACAGACUGUGGUGCCAGGGGAAGGCCAGAACUUGUCAUGGAAGGUGAAAGCUGGGAUCCAUUGAACUGUUUGCUUGGAUGACAUGUAGACUUCCAAACAAAGGGUUUGGCAAAACGGCUUAAUGAGUAGAGCGACUUGCUGUCAAGCAUGAUGACCUGGGUUUCCUUGCCAAAGCAUGAUAACCUGGGUUUCCUCGCCAGAACAUAGACGCUGGAAGAAGAGAACCGACUUCUGCAAGCUGUCACCCUACCACACACUCGUUUAUAAACAAGUGCAUAAGUUACUGUAAAAAUUCAAAUUAAAGUCA